AACUCCAGUCCUCAUACCUGUGUUUCAGGCAGCAAGGUGGAGGAAGGGACAAAAAAGAAAUGGGCAAAGGACGCACAUCCUCUGAUCAUUAAGGCAGGCAUCUACAUGCUCAGCUAAAAGUUGAAACAUUUAUUACUACAGAAGAAGAGAAACUUUGGGGAACAGCCAACAGUCCCUGCCAAAAUUUACAAGUCAACAAUUCUUCAAGCCUUGGCCAGCUUUGGAAAUCCAAGUGCAUUUAUGAUUUUGAUGGAGAAGGUUUUGCCCUAACCUAGGGACAUGACAUGAUGGCUAGAUUUAGCAACUGUUCCUAUGUCCUCUUGGAGAAAGUGGGAUAACCGUAUGCAGAUGUGAUGGCUAGAUCAAGCAGCCAUCUUGGGCCAAGAGGUAGUAGAAACCAUGAAUUGAAGAUGGCAGAGCAAAAGAUAGAAUUGAGGUCUCUGAUGAUUGUGGAGCAGCCAUACCAUUCUAGGACACUGCUGUAAGAUAAAUAAACUUUUAUUGUUGAAUUCAC